CUCUCCUUCCCUCCCUUCUUCUUCUUCCUUUCUCCGGUGACCGGCCGGCGACGUCCCAAGCAGCUCCCCACCGGCCGGCGACCCUCCGACGACGUCCAGGACCACCAGAAACGGCGGCAAGAGAGGGAGAGAUAGAGAAAACGCGCGCACAGUGGGCAGCGGCUUUCCGGCGCGAUUCCGGCUUCAUCCGACGUCCGAUCGAGGCGAUUCCGGUGGCGUUGGAAAGCUUGUUCCGAGAGCUUUCUUUUGAUACCAAUUUUGAAGCAAAUGGAGGUCGGAUGAGUGAGAUAUGGAGGAGAGAAGUUUCGGGUUUUUCAAGCUUUUUCGUCAGAUCUACGACGAUCCGACCGUUGGAUCGACGAUCCGAGACCACAUAUGGACUGAGGAAGAGGAGAGGAACAUGGUGGUAUGAUCAGAUUCGGCAAAUGUCGCCGGCGACCGGCGGCUGGCCACAGUGCGCGGUGGUGCCGGCGGUGGCCCGGUGAGCUAUGGAGAUGGUUCAACUUCCAGAGGCUUCCUCAUAAAUUUUUGAAAUUUUUGAGACACAGAUAAACUUCGGGUGAUCGAGAUCAACUAUUUUCCUGCAUCCAGCAGCCACAAUAGUCGACGGUGUACUGCUACAGGAGGAGACAUUUUUCAGAAUAACCUGUCCCUUUCCUCUCAGGUUAUGAAAAGAUUACUUAAUUAUAUUAUUAUUCUCUAAAUUUGUAAAUUUAGGACUCCGCAUGUGCUAGUAGUAGCAUUAAGCCUAUCAGAGACUGUAUGAAUUCAAGUUUUCAUAUUAAUAAAUGAAAAGAAAAAUUUUUUAUGAGUUUUAAAUGGUUAUAAAUGAGGUAAUAGGGUUGAGCUGGGCUCCCCUGAUUUUAGUUUUCUGAAAAGUUCUGGGCUAAGUUGGCCCAAAAUGAAAUUAUAACAGUUUAAUUUAAAUUAUCUUAUAUGCAUAUUGGGUCUAAAUUGUGGGCCUGGUUAUGGAUUUGAGGAAUAGUUAGGCUUACUACGGGCCUCGGGGGCUUUAAGUCGCC